rnacentral:rRNA from 1 species
AACUGAAGAGUUUGAUCAUGGCUCAGAUUGAACGCUGGCGGCAGGCUUAACACAUGCAAGUCGAGCGGGGGAAGGUAGCUUGCUACUGGACCUAGCGGCGGACGGGUGAGUAAUGCUUAGGAAUCUGCCUAUUAGUGGGGGACAACAUCUCGAAAGGGAUGCUAAUACCGCAUACGUCCUACGGGAGAAAGCAGGGGAUCUUCGGACCUUGCGCUAAUAGAUGAGCCUAAGUCGGAUUAGCUAGUUGGUGGGGUAAAGGCC